AGAUGAAACUAGAUACAAGCGAGCGGCGGACGGGUGAGUAACACGUGGGUAACCUGCCCAAGAGACUGGGAUAACACCUGGAAACAGAUGCUAAUACCGGAUAACAACACUAGACGCAUGUCUAGAGUUUAAAAGAUGGUUCUGCUAUCACUCUUGGAUGGACCUGCGGUGCAUUAGCUAGUUGGUAAGGUAACGGCUUACCAAGGCAAUGAUGCAUAGCCGAGUUGAGAGACUAAUCGGCCACAUUGGGACUGAGACACGGCCCAAACUCCUACGGGAGGCAGCAGUAGGGAAUCUUCCACAAUGGACGCAAGUCUGAUGGAGCAACGCCGCGUGAGUGAAGAAGGGUUUCGGCUCGUAAAGCUCUGUUGGUAGUGAAGAAAGAUAGAGGUAGUAACUGGCCUUUAUUUGACGGUAAUUACUUAGAAAGUCACGGCUAACUACGUGCCAGCAGCCGCGGUAAUACGUAGGUGGCAAGCGUUGUCCGGAUUUAUUGGGCGUAAAGCGAGUGCAGGCGGUUCAAUAAGUCUGAUGUGAAAGCCUUCGGCUCAACCGGAGAAUUGCAUCAGAAACUGUUGAACUUGAGUGCAGAAGAGGAGAGUGGAACUCCAUGUGUAGCGGUGGAAUGCGUAGAUAUAUGGAAGAACACCAGUGGCGAAGGCGGCUCUCUGGUCUGCAACUGACGCUGAGGCUCGAAAGCAUGGGUAGCGAACAGG
rnacentral:rRNA from 1 species